rnacentral:rRNA from 1 species
GGGCCCGCACAAGCGGUGGAGUAUGUGGUUUAAUUCGAUGCAACGCGAAGAACCUUACCAGGGUUUGACAUCCUGCGAAUCUCUUGGAAACAGGAGAGUGCCUUCGGGAACGCAGUGACAGGUGGUGCAUGGCUGUCGUCAGCUCGUGUCGUGAGAUGUCGGGUUAAGUCCCUUAACGAGCGAAACCCUUAUCUCUAGUUGCCAGCGGGUAAUGCCGGGGACUCUAGAGAGACUGCCGGUGUCAAACCGGAGGAAGGUGGGGAUGACGUCAAGUCCUCAUGGCCUUUAUGUCUAGGGCUGCACACGUACUACAAUGCUACGGACAAAGGGCAGCAAACUCGCGAGAGCUAGCAAAUCCCAUAAACCGUGGCUCAGUUCAGAUCGUAGGCUGCAACUCGCCUACGUGAAGGAGGAAUCGCUAGUAAUCGC